CCCUUGGAUCAUAGAGAGAGAAGGGACCUCUCUAGGACACCCAAUUGAGGGAAGGGACCUCUCUAGGACAUCCAGGGAUCAUAGAGAGGGAAGGGACCCCUCCAGGUCCUCCAGCCUGACCCCCUGGCAAAGGACCAUAGAGAGAGAGAAGGGACCUCUCUAGGACAUCUGGCACGUUAUUCGGGGAUCAUAGAGAGAGAAGGGACCUCUCUAGAACAUCCAGCCUGACCCCCUUGUAAAGGAUCAGAGAGAGAAGGGACCUCUCUAGGACAUCCAUGGAUCAUAGAGAGGGAGGGAAGGGACUUCUCCAGGUCAUCCAGCCUGACCCCCUUUGCAAAGCAUCAUAGAGAGGGAAAGGACCUCUCUAGGGCAUCCAGCCGGUUCUUAGGGGAUCAUAGAGAGGGGAAGGGACCACUCUAGGACAUCCUGGGAUCAUAGAGAGUGAAGGGACCCUUCUAGCACAUCCAGCACCUUCUUAGGGGACCAUAGAGAGGGAAGGGAACCCUCCAGGGAUCAUAGAGAGGGAAGGGAGGUCUCCGGGUCAUCCAGCCUGACCCCCUUGGAUCAUAGAGAGGGAAGGGACCUCUCUAGGACACCCAGCUGGUUCUUAGGGGAUCAUAGAGAGGGAAGGGACCUCUAGGACAUCCUGGGAUCAUAGAGAGGGAAUGCACCCCUCCUGGUCAUCCAGCCUGACCCCCUUGCAAAGGACCAUAGAGAGGGAAGGGACCCCUCUAGGACACCCAGCACCUUCUGAGGGGACCAUAGAGAAGGGACCUCUCUAGGACAUCCAGCCCAUUCUUAAGGGAUCAUAGAGAGGGAAGGGACCCCUCCAGGUCCUCCAGCCUCACCCCCUUGCAAAGGACCAUAGACAGGGAAGCGACCUCUCUAGGACCUCCAUCACCUUCUUACGGGACCAUAGAGAGGGAAGGGGCCCCUCCCGCUCCUCCAGCCUGACCCUUCUAGGAUUCCUCAGCCCCCCAAUUUCCCAGAAAGCUUUACUUCCCCUCCAAGCCCGGGUUCGACAUCUUCAGGCGGGGACAAUCUAGGAUUUCAGCCCUCUAUGGGGAAAUUUGGGUUUUUCCGGACCUCUCUAGGACCUCCAGCCGGUUAUGAGGGGAUCAUCGAGAGGGAAGGGACCCCCAACGGUCCAUCCAGACUGACCCGCCCCAUAGAAGCCCCUUUAGGGCGCCAUCUUGUCUCCCCUUCUUGCGAAUGCCCUCAAUAAAGAGAUAUAUAUAUAUAU